GGGCGGUUAGCUCAGUGGUAGAGCGUCUGCCUUACAAGCAGAGGGUCACUGGUUCAAGUCCAGUACCGCCCA
rnacentral:tRNA from 2 species